GACGAACCGUGCGAACGUUAUUCGGAAUCACUGGCUUAAAGCGCGUGUAGGCGGGAGGGCACGUCCGUUGCUGAAAUCCCCCGGCUCAACCGGGGAACGGGCGCGGAUACGACUCUCCUUGAGGGGCGUAGGGGACCUGGAACUUCCGGUGGAGCGGUGAAAUGCGUUGAGAUCGGAAGGAACGCCCGUGGCGAAAGCGAGGUCCUGGACGCCUACUGACGCUGAGACGCGAAAGCCAGGGGAGCGAACGGG
rnacentral:rRNA from 1 species